UCAAAACGAAAACGUGAAAUAAAUGAGCAACAAAACUAUGUAUACAGACACCAACAACAACAACUACAACAGCCAGAAUAUCUUUUACGCUGUUAUAUUGUCGAUGGGUAGUUUUUUGCUGCUGUAGACAACAUAAUUGCUAACAGAAAUUAAUCAGACAGGCUUGCUUGCAUUGUUGGAGUAACUAAAAUCUAUUGAAGAAUAGUUUUAAAAAAAGUAACUAAAUUCUAAUAAAUUUUAGUAAAAAUUUUAUAUUCCGAUUUUAUUGAAAGAAAGUCAAUAAACUCAUUUUUACUAAUAACAUCACUUACUGACGUGACUGGCACAGUUUGAUGUCAAAGCACUUCGGCUGGACAAAAUUGUUUAACUUUGAAUGCACAUCCGUUUCUUAUAUUUAAUUUUACAGUUUUAUACACGUUCUAACGACAAAAUAGAUGUUAGUUUGUAUAUGAGAAACCGUUAGCUGAUUUAGUCAUGGCUUGGACUGUAAUGCACUAUACUAUGCAAAAUUAAAUGAAUUGCUGGCUAUUUGCUAGACUCAGAACUUGCGGACUCAUUAUGUAUGCAAAACAGUUGAGAAGAAUGUCUGUUUGUUACCACAGAGGAUUUUUUUUUAUUGAAGAAAAUUGUAUAAAACAAACAUGAAAAUAUCAAAACAUAUAAAAAAUUAUUUUAGGUCAUAAUUUUUAGAUAACUUAUUAAUAGGUAAA